CUUCAAAAAAAAAGCAAAAAAAAUAAACGAAAAAGAGAAAAAGCCACAGAACCGCUGUCUAAAACAGCAUUUGUAGAGUUGCUAAAAACCCCUAACGUAGCUGCUUGGUAUAGGCUAAUCGUUUUAGGCAAAAAGAGGAAAAAUUAGAGCUCUCCGUCUCUCUUUCAUCGAGUGAAACCUCAAUUUCUUUGGAGGUGCUCUGAUUCUUUGAUCAUACUUGAGAUGAGUUUUUGUGUUGAUUUUCUCAACAAAAUUAGGGCGUUUACGUUUCUUUGCCAUGGGUGAGGACUGAGAGCCACAAAUCCUAUUAAUUGAAGUUGGUAAAAUACAAUAUGCUUCUUGUUUUAUCAAGAGAUUGAUAGUGCGACGUCCUCGGGAUCCUCUGAGGAGAAAGCCAUUGAUCCAGUGGAGAUAAUUCCUUUGAAUCAAGUUUCUCAAACCACCGUGGAAGCUUCUUUACAAGGGAAACCACAAAGACCCAUCUUACUCAGAGCCAUCAGUUUCAAACAGAGGACAACGGGUAAUAGUGAUCAUGAAGGCCGUCGGGUCUCUGUGGAGCUCAAGGGUCCUCCUUCUAGAUCUUCUUUGGAGAAUAGUGAUUGGAGUAAGGCAGAGUCUCUAGUUAAGGUAGAACUACAAGCGGAUGUUGAGCUUAUAAGAUCCAGCACUAGAGGGUUUGCUGUAAGUAUUCAUUUAUGGUUUAUGGUUUAUGGUAUCAUCUCGUUUUGGUUAUUAUCGUUGAAGUCGGAUAACCAGACUGAGAUA